rnacentral:rRNA from 2 species
UUCCCUACGGGGGGCAGCAGUGGGGAAUAUUGGACAUUGGGCGCAAGCCUGAUCCAGCCAUGCCGCGUGAGUGAUGAAGGCCUUAGGGUUGUAAAGCUCUUUCGCCAGGGACGAUAAUGACGGUACCUGGAUAAGAAGCCCCGGCUAACUUCGUGCCAGCAGCCGCGGUAAUACGAAGGGGGCUAGCGUUGUUCGGAAUUACUGGGCGUAAAGCGUAUGCAGGCGGAUCGUUAAGUCGGGGGUGAAAUCCCGAGGCUCAACCUCGGAACUGCCGUCGAUACUGGCGAUCUUGAGUCCGGGAGAGGUGAGUGGAACUCCGAGUGUAGAGGUGAAAUUCGUAGAUAUUCGGAAGAACACCAGUGGCGAAGGCGGCUCACUGGCCCGGUACUGACGCUGAGAUACGAAAGCGUGGGGAGCAAACAGGAUUAGAUACCCUGGUAGUCC